rnacentral:rRNA from 1 species
AUUUUGUAUGUACCAUAUGAAUAAGGAUCGGCUAACUCCGUGCCAGCAGCCGCGGUAAUACGGAGGAUCCGAGCGUUAUCCGGAUUUAUUGGGUUUAAAGGGAGCGUAGGUGGAUUGUUAAGUCAGUUGUGAAAGUUUGCGGCUCAACCGUAAAAUUGCAGUUGAAACUGGCAGUCUUGAGUACAGUAGAGGUGGGCGGAAUUCGUGGUGUAGCGGUGAAAUGCUUAGAUAUCACGAAGAACUCCGAUUGCGAAGGCAGCUCACUAGACUGCAACUGACACUGAUGCUCGAAAGUGUGGGUAUCAAACAGGAUUAGAUACCCUGGUAGUCCACACAGUAAACGAUGAAUACUCGCUGUUUGCGAUAUACAGUAAGCGGCCAAGCGAAAGCAUUAAGUAUUCCACCUGGGGAGUACGCCGGCAACGGUGAAACUCAAAGGAAUUGACGGGGGCCCGCACAAGCGGAGGAACAUGUGGUUUAAUUCGAUGAUACGCGAGGAACCUUACCCGGGCUUAAAUUGCAUUUGAAUAAUCUGGAAACAGGUUAGCCGCAAGGCAAAUGUGAAGGUGCUGCAUGGUUGUCGUCAGCUCGUGCCGUGAGGUGUCGGCUUAAGUGCCAUAACGAGCGCAACCCUUAUCUUUAGUUACUAACAGGUCAUGCUGAGGACUCUAGAGAGACUGCCGUCGUAAGAUGUGAGGAAGGUGGGGAUGACGUCAAAUCAGCACGGCCCUUACGUCCGGGGCUACACACGUGUUACAAUGGGGGGUACAGAAGGCAGCUACCUGGCGACAGGAUGCUAAUCCCAAAAACCUCUCUCAGUUCGGAUCGAAGUCUGCAACCCGACUUCGUGAAGCUGGAUUCGCUAGUAAUCGCGCAUCAGCCAUGGCGCGGUGAAUACGUUCCCGGGCCUUGUACACACCGCCCGUCAAGCCAUGAAAGCCGGGGGUACCUGAAGUACGUAACCGCAAGGAGCGUCCUAGGGUAAAACUGGUAAUUGGGGCUAAGUCGUAACAAGGUAGCCGUACCGGAAGGUGCGGCUGGAACACCUCCUUUCU